rnacentral:tRNA from 1 species
GUCCCUGUAGCGCAAUGGAUAGCGCGUUAGACUUCAAAUCCAAAGGUCGUUGAUUCGAAUCCCACCUGGGAUG